AUGACAUUGUUCACACGGGUGCUAUGAUAAUAAGAUAGUAUUGACUCCUUUUCUAUCUAUAUAAAGAAGGACACCAACCAUUCUGGUUUCCAAAUCUCUCAAUCUAUUGUAGUUCUUAAGCAGAUCGGCAAAAGCUCGAAGAUGAACAACGUAAUUAGCACUGCUGGGCUUGAACUAGCAUAUUUGCUGGUGACUUCUCUCCUGCGCCAGUCAUGGGACGCGAUUCAGAAGCAAAAGAUCCGUACAGCUGCUGAUCCGAAUGCACAAAUGGCCUUAUACGACAUUAGUGAAACCAAGCACCCGAACACCACCAUCAUAUCUUUUCUUACUCCACCCGUCACGCUUCAAGAUCAACAAGCGAUGAUUCCAUCGACAACUCUCAAGGACACAAAUUUUCCUCUCUUUGAGUUUUUGUGCAAUAAAGGCACCCCAAAUUUCUCCGUCAAUGAAUUGGCAAUCAACUUCUUUGCCGUGAA